UACGUAGGGUGCAAGCGUUGUCCGGAAUUAUUGGGCGUAAAGAGCUUGUAGGCGGUUUGUCGCGUCUGCUGUGAAAUUUCGGGGCUCAACCCCGAACUUGCAGUGGGUACGGGCAGACUAGAGUGUGGUAGGGGAGACUGGAAUUCCUGGUGUAGCGGUGAAAUGCGCAGAUAUCAGGAGGAACACCGGUGGCGAAGGCGGCAUCCUGGACCAACACUGACGCUGAGUGAGCGAAAGCCAGGGGAGCAAACGGG
rnacentral:rRNA from 1 species